rnacentral:rRNA from 1 species
CAGCAGCCACGGGAAUACAGAGGUCCCGAGCGUUGUUCGGAUUCACUGGGCGUAAAGGGUGUGUAGGAGGUCAGGUAAGUCGUGUGUGAAAUCUCAGAGCUUAACUCUGAAACUGCGCUCGAUACUGCUUGGCUAGAGGAUCGGAGGGGGUAACGGAAUUUAUGGUGUAGCAGUGAAAUGCGUAGAUAUCAUAAGGAACACCGGUGGCGAAGGCGGUUACCUGGAAGAUUCCUGACUCUGAAACACGAAAGCCAGGGGAGCAAACGGGAUUAGAUACCCCGGUAGUCCCUGUCUCUUAUAA